AUUGAACGCUGGCGGCAGGCCUAACACAUGCAAGUCGAGCGGAUGGAGGGAGCUUGCUCCUGGGUUCAGCGGCGGACGGGUGAGUAAUGCCUAGGAACAUGCCUGGUCGGGGGGGAUAACGUCCGGAAAGGGGAGCUAAUACCGCAUACGGCCUGAGGGUGUAAGUUGGGGAUCUUCGGACCUCACGCUAUCGGAUGGGCCUAGGUCGGAUUAGCUAGUUGGUGGGGUAAAGGCCUACCAAGGCGACGAUCCGUAGCUGGUUUGAGAGGAAGAUCAGUCACACUGGAACUGAGACACGGUCCAGACUCCUACGGGAGGAAGCAGUGGGGAAUAUUGGACAAUGGGCGAAAGCCUGAUCCAGCCAUGCCGCGUGUGUGAAGAAGGUCUUCGGAUUGUAAAGCACUUUAGGUUGGAAGGAAGUGCAGUAAGUUAAUACCUUGCGGUAUUGACGGUACCAACAGAAUAAGCACCGGCUAACUUCGUG
rnacentral:rRNA from 1 species